GGGGUAUGCUACAGCGUCGACGGUANCGCUGAGAGGUGACGCACAUUGGACUGAGACACGGCCCAACUCUACGGAGGCAGCAGUGGGAAUAUGCACAAUGGCGCAAGCUGAUGCAGCGACGCCGCGUGGGGGAUGACGGCNUUCGGGUUGUAAACUCCUUUCAACCAUGACGAAGCUAUUUGUGACGGUAGUGGUAGAAGAAGCACCGGCUAACUACGUGCCAGCAGCCGCGGUAAUACGUAGGGUGCGAGCGUUGUCCGGAAUUACUGGGCGUAAAGAGCUCGUAGGUGGUUUGUCGCGUCGUCUGUGAAAUUCCGGGGCUUAACUCCGGGCGUGCAGGCGAUACGGGCAUAACUUGAGUACUGUAGGGGAGACUGGAAUUCCUGGUGUAGCGGUGAAAUGCGCAGAUAUCAGGAGGAACACCGAUGGCGAAGGCAGGUCUCUGGGCAGUUACUGACGCUGAGGAGCGAAAGCAUGGGUAGCGAACAGGAUUAGAUACCCUGGUAGUCCAUGCCGUAAACGGUGGGCGCUAGGUGUGGGGGUCUUCCACGACUUCCGUGCCGUAGCUAACGCAUUAAGCGCCCCGCCUGGGGAGUACGGCCGCAAGGCUAAAACUCAAAGGAAUUGACGGGGGCCCGCACAAGCGGCGGAGCAUGUGGAUUAAUUCGAUGCAACGCGAAGAACCUUACCUGGGCUUGACAUAUGCAGGAUCGGCACAGAGAUGUGUUUUCCCUUGUGGUCUGUAUACAGGUGGUGCAUGGUUGUCGUCAGCUCGUGUCGUGAGAUGUUGGGUUAAGUCCCGCAACGAGCGCAACCCUUGUCUUGUGUUGCCAGCACGUUAUGGUGGGGACUCGCGAGAGACUGCCGGGGUUAACUCGGAGGAAGGUGGGGAUGACGUCAAAUCAUCAUGCCCCUUAUGUCCAGGGCUUCACACAUGCUACAAUGGUCGGUACAGUGGGUUGCUACACCGUGAGGUGGUGCUAAUCCCUUUAAAGCCGGUCUCAGUUCGGAUUGGAGUCUGCAACUCGACUCCAUGAAGUCGGAGUCGCUAGUAAUCGCAGAUCAGAACGUGCG
rnacentral:rRNA from 1 species